GGCCGGCAGCUACACAUGCAGUCGAGCGGUAGCACAGAGAGCUUGCUCUCGGGUGACGAGCGGCGGACGGGUGAGUAAUGUCUGGGAAACUGCCUGAUGGAGGGGGAUAACUACUGGAAACGGUAGCUAAUACCGCAUAACGUCGCAAGACCAAAGUGGGGGACCUUCGGGCCUCAUGCCAUCAGAUGUGCCCAGAUGGGAUUAGCUAGUAGGUGGGGUAACGGCUCACCUAGGCGACGAUCCCUAGCUGGUCUGAGAGGAUGACCAGCCACACUGGAACUGAGACACGGUCCAGACUCCUACGGGAGGCAGCAGUGGGGAAUAUUGCACAAUGGGCGCAAGCCUGAUGCAGCCAUGCCGCGUGUGUGAAGAAGGCCUUCGGGUUGUAAAGCACUUUCAGCGGGGAGGAAGGCGAUAAGGUUAAUAACCUUGUCGAUUGACGUUACCCGCAGAAGAAGCACCGGCUAACUCCGUGCCAGCAGCCGCGGUAAUACGGAGGGUGCAAGCGUUAAUCGGAAUUACUGGGCGUAAAGCGCACGCAGGCGGUCUGUCAAGUCGGAUGUGAAAUCCCCGGGCUCAACCUGGGAACUGCAUUCGAAACUGGCAGGCUAGAGUCUUGUAGAGGGGGGUAGAAUUCCAGGUGUAGCGGUGAAAUGCGUAGAGAUCUGGAGGAAUACCGGUGGCGAAGGCGGCCCCCUGGACAAAGACUGACGCUCAGGUGCGAAAGCGUGGGGAGCAAACAGGAUUAGAUACCCUGGUAGUCCACGCCGUAAACGAUGUCGAUUUGGAGGUUGUGCCCUUGAGGCGUGGCUUCCGGAGCUAACGCGUUAAAUCGACCGCCUGGGGAGUACGGCCGCAAGGUUAAAACUCAAAUGAAUUGACGGGGGCCCGCACAAGCGGUGGAGCAUGUGGUUUAAUUCGAUGCAACGCGAAGAACCUUACCUGGUCUUGACAUCCACAGAACUUAGCAGAGAUGGUUUGGUGCCUUCGGGAACUGUGAGACAGGUGCUGCAUGGCUGUCGUCAGCUCGUGUUGUGAAAUGUUGGGUUAAGUCCCGCAACGAGCGCAACCCUUAUCCUUUGUUGCCAGCGGUUCGGCCGGGAACUCAAAGGAGACUGCCAGUGAUAAACUGGAGGAAGGUGGGGAUGACGUCAAGUCAUCAUGGCCCUUACGACCAGGGCUACACACGUGCUACAAUGGCAUAUACAAAGAGAAGCGACCUCGCGAGAGCAAGCGGACCUCAUAAAGUAUGUCGUAGUCCGGAUUGGAGUCUGCAACUCGACUCCAUGAAGUCGGAAUCGCUAGUAAUCGUAGAUCAGAAUGCUACGGUGAAUACGUUCCCGGGCCUUGUACACACCGCCCGUCACACCAUGGGAGUGGGUUGCAAAAGAAGUAGGUAGCUUAACCUUCGGAGGGCGCUACCACUUG
rnacentral:rRNA from 1 species